rnacentral:rRNA from 1 species
AACGAACGCUGGCGGCAGGCUUAACACAUGCAAGUCGAACGCCCCGCAAGGGGAGUGGCAGACGGGUGAGUAACGCGUGGGAAUCUACCCAGAACUUCGGAACAACUGAGGGAAACUUCAGCUAAUACCGGAUACGCCCUACGGGGGAAAGAUUUAUCGGUUUUGGAUGAGCCCGCGUUGGAUUAGCUAGUUGGUGAGGUAACGGCUCACCAAGGCGACGAUCCAUAGCUGGUCUGAGAGGAUGAUCAGCCACACUGGGACUGAGACACGGCCCAGACUCCUACGGGAGGCAGCAGUGGGGAAUAUUGGACAAUGGGCGAAAGCCUGAUCCAGCCACGCCGCGUGAGUGAUGAAGGCCUUAGGGUUGUAAAGCUCCUUCAGUAGGGAAGAUAAUGACGGUACCUACAGAAGAAGCCCCGGCUAACUUCGUGCCAGCCGCCGCCGUAAGAC